rnacentral:rRNA from 1 species
UACAGAGGUCUCAAGCGUUGUUCGGAUUCAUUGGGCGUAAAGGGUGCGUAGGCGGCGCGGUAAGUCGGGUGUGAAAUCUCGGAGCUUAACUCCGAAACUGCAUUCGAUACUACCGUGCUUGAGGACUGGAGAGGAGACUGGAAUUUACGGUGUAGCGGUGAAAUGCGUAGAUAUCGUAAGGAAGACCAGUGGCGAAGGCGGGUCUCUGGACAGUUCCUGACGCUGAGGCGCGAAGGCCAGGGGAGCAAACGGG